UUCAUGAAUAGCCUAUGGUUUAGCCUUGAAGCAGAACACUUUCAUUCUUUCAUGCCUUCAACAUUAAGUUAGCAGCUGCUAUCCCUUGGUGCUUUGUUAAGGAAGACAGCCUAUUGGCAACUCAGGAAUGCAAGGCCAGUGGCCUGGUUAAAGCACAGAAAAUUUAGUGGUUUGUGGGUUUUUAGAAGGCAAACUAGAAAUGGGACAGGUCCUUAUAAUAACCAAUUCUAUAAUGAAUUAAGACUGUGCUUCUCUGCAACCCCACUACACAGGUAGGAAAGAUAAGAUUCAGAAGGACACCUCGUUCUAACCUCAGAUCCCACAGCUUAACUCAUGUGAGCCUCAUCACUGAUGCUCCUCUACACUCUCAUUAACCUCUGACCCAUGCUGAAUGCGCUUCAGACCCCAUGUGACAGCAGAGUGAUUAACAGUGUGGCCUCAGAAGUCAGGCAGAGAUUCAGAAGGCUGGAUGGAAACUUCUCCAAGUCUCGUCAACUGUGGAGCAUUGCCACUGGCACUUGGAACAUGAGCAGCAAUGAGAGCACAAUUAACUUUCUAGCACUUUCUGAAAUCUGGGAACUGAAAUGGCCAGAGUUAAGGAACCUUAUGAAAUAGCAAAAACUAAAUAGUCAAUGUAGAAUUACACAAUUACAUAUGUAGGUAGAAAAUUCUUUCUUUCUGGUGUCUUACCUCUGCUACAGGAACUGAUCAGUCCACCAUGGAUGGUAUUGACCAGCAUGAGCCAAGGUCCGUUUCAUUUGAGACCCAUCUGUCAUUAGGUAUACCCUGAAUGUCCAUUCAGGUCAGUCAGAGAACCUUGUUAAAUUUGAUACCAGAUUUCUGCCCACUGUCUGCAGAAUUCCUCAAACCUUCACUUCUAGAUAUCAUUGGGUCCUCCAGUUUCUUCUAUUUUGGCUUUAAAUCUUAGAUCUCAUUUUUUAAUCGAGUCUCUGGAAUUUGAAUUCCAUUGUGAACUAUUUCCAUUAUUUUUCACUUUUGUACUCCAGGACACUAGAUUUAUUAUUUUCUUCCAACUCUAAACACCAUAGAUGUUGGCAAGGGAAAUCUGAUUCCUUUAUCUUGCCCGCACAUAGGAAAGCUAUGGCUGUGUCCGCUCUCUCUCAGGUAGGCCCUGUUCUCAAUCAGUCUGGGGCUAUGGACUAGAAUGUGUUUUGGAAACAGAGCAGCUGGUAUCAGAGAGUCUAGACCAGCUGCCAGGAAGUUGAGCUUGAAUUAAAAGGAGGACCAAAAGCAGUAUGGUAUGGGAAAACAAAUCAGACUUAAGUUCUGUCUUGGCUUUGUUACUGACCAGCUACCCCUAAGAUACUAAGCAAAUCCUUUAACCAUUCUGAGACUAUCUCACCUGUAAGAGUUGGUCUGAGGAAUAAAUGAAACGAUCUGGGGAAAUUCCUGGAAUGU
rnacentral:lncRNA from 12 species